CCUACGGGAGGCAGCAGUGGGGAAUAUUGCACAAUGGGCGAAAGCCUGAUGCAGCAACGCCGCGUGAAGGAAGGCGGUUUUCGGAUUGUAAACUUCUGUUCUUAGUGAAGAAUAAUGACGGUAACUAAGGAGCAAGCCACGGCUAACUACGUUCCAGCAGCCGCGGUAAUCCGUAGGUUGCAAGCGUUGUCCGGAAUUACUGGGUGUAAAGGGAGCGUAGGCGGGAAGCCAAGUCAGCUGUGAAAACUACGGGUGUAACCUGUGGACUGCAGUUGAAACUGGCUUUCUUGAGUGAAGUAGAGGUUGGCGGAAUUCCGGGUGUAGCGGUGAAAUGCGUAGAUAUUCGGAGGAACACCGGUGGCGAAGGCGGCCAACUGGGCUUUAACUGACGCUGAGGCGCGAAAGUGUGGGGAGCAAACAGGAUUAGAUACCCGUGUAGUC
rnacentral:rRNA from 1 species